ensembl:lncRNA
AUCUCUCCAGAGACUCUUGCAUGCAAGUCUCAAAGGGGUUCACUAGGAAGUCUGAACUAUGUGUCCAUUACGUAAGACCAAAAUACAGCCUCAUGUACUUUUGGAGGGGUAGUUUAAACAUCAGGUGAUUACGUUCAUAGUCUGUCAAAAGACAGUGACAGCAUUUUACAAGAAUGAUUCCUCUGGAUUUUUCUCCAGGCACCACAAUAUUUGACAAGAUCUUCAGAAGCAAAAUAGGCUAACUCAGUUCUCUAGGCUGUCUUCUCUCCUAUGUGCAGAGGGAGUGGAUGGAGACAAUUAAGCUGCAUUCACAAUGUGCUCUGGGCAAAUUCAGAGCUUGACAGCACGUGUUUGGCCUAUGCAAACUACAGAACAUAAAUCAUCCAGAAACAAGCAUGAAGAAAAUACUACUUAUCUGCAGCUCCCACUUGCAAGCUUACCUACAAAACAGGCUUCCCCCUGAUGAAAAGAUCAAUGUUGUUUUGAACCAGUUACUUUUGUAGAAAGUCAUUCUGAAUUACGUUUAGCCUGUAAUGGAGAAUUUAUCCCCUAGAAAAGUCAGAUAAACUUAACUACUAAAUGAUCUCAUAUUGCCUACAGUUAGAUUUCUAAAAGCACAGUACCUCAGCUUAAGGGUUUGGAAAAUGUUUUCCUGAAAGAAAGUGAUAGAAAAUGAAGAAGAAACAAAAGAUCUGAUUUAAGUAAGUCUGUGCUCCUAGCCCUCCUGGCUAUCUUGAUGGCAAAGCCUUCCCCACAAGGAAUAGGCUUUACCAGCUGGCAAUGUUAUGAAAUAAAUGCCUUAGAAUAAGAGUCAGAAAUAGCAUCUGGAGGUUCAGAAGUGCAUCUGUUCUGUUGAUGGUACUUUCAGAUCAGUAUUUUUGUGUCACAGAUGAAGCUAUGUGGAAAAUAAGGUGUUGGUUUUAAAUCAGUUUAAUUCUUUUCAUAGUGAUUUGCAGCUGAGAAAAUAUUUAUUUAUUUUCCAUUGGUGAAUCUCUUCAGUAAAUAUCUUCUCAGUUCUGCUUAAUAAGUCUUGGAAAGUCAUAAUUAAGCUGUUUUGUGCACCUGACCAGUCACCAAGUUUUUCUCAGCAGACUGCAUAACAGGUGCCCAAAGCACAGCUUUAUUCAUGCAAUAGAACAACAGCCAGUAGAAGAGGC